rnacentral:misc_RNA from 1 species
GAUGAAGAACGUAGCGAACUGCGAUAAGUAAUGUGAAUUGCAGAAUUCAGUGAAUCAUCGAGUCUUUGAACGCACAUUGCGCCCCCUGGCAUUCCGGGGGGCAUGCCUGUCCGAGCGUCAUUGCUGCCCUUCAAGCCCGGCUUGUGUGUUGGGUCGUCGUCCCCCCCGGGGGACGGGCCCGAAAGGCAGCGGCGGCACCGCGUCCGGUCCUCGAGCGUAUGGGGCUUUGUCACCCGCUCGAUUAGGGCCGGCCGGGCGCCAGCCGGCGUCUCCAACCUUCUAUUUUACCAGGUUGACCUCGGAUCAGGUAGGGAUACCCGCUGAACUUAAGCAUAUCAAUAACGGAGGA